ensembl:lncRNA
UGUACUAGAUUAUACAGUCCUGUGUUGUGCAGGAUAGCCGGGAGCAGGCGGAGUCAACGUCUACAAAGAUCGCCACGACUGUGAAAAUAAUCGGGAGACGUCACGAACACUGGUUCGUCAUUUAAAAGAAUAAAAAAAUUUAGCCUAGCCCCACCAGUUUUUUACAUGUAGAAACACUGCCUAUUAUAGACCCAUCCAAAUGAAAUUUUAAAACCCACCCCUAUUGAAAAUGAAGUCAUUGGCAUGAGAUUUACGGCUAACCAAUGGCAUGGAGGCACUGGGCUUGUCGGAUAAUCAUAAUUAUAUUCCAUUAUUACACGGGUCUUUCCAACGUUCCGUUCACGACAUGCCACAUGGGCACUUCACAACUUCCGGCGGUCAAUUAUUUUUUGAUAAUUCAUUGGCAACGGAUGAAUAAUGAGCGCUGUCAAGGAAUCCAUCUGUGCCGCCCAGUUGAUCACCGAGGACGAGGGCUUGGGUCGGCUGGCCCACACGGUGCAGGUCUUGGUGGACCUCGCGCCGACUGCUGCCAGCCACCGCCGCGCUAGCAGACCGGAGCCACUAGGGGCGGACAGGCUAAGCACUGCUCCAUCCUUCUCUCAGCUCCAUGGCGUCCACUGAUUCCUGUCAUCCAAAUGUCCAAAAUGGUACCCCAAAAAAAUUCUUCUGUGUUUUCAAGUAAAAACAGGCGUUUAGUUAGAUUUUUUUGGUUUUCAAGUAGGCCUAUAUAAAUUAUGCACAUGGCAAGUGGAAGUCGAGCAACUUGUUUUAAAGUUGAUUCAUACUUUUUUUUUGUUAGGAUCUUUAACUUCAAACAUUGUUUUACUCGUCAAACACCUAAUUAUCAUGCAAUUGUUCAUACGGCAUUAUCAUUAUCAUUAUCUGCAUUAUCCCGACCAACAAUAACAGCAUAUGACUGCACUGAAUCCAUCAAAAAAAACAUGUAUUAUCAAUCUUUGUCAGUUCCAUUCCCUGUCGUCGUCAUUCAGAAAAAUUAAAAUAAAAAGCUAUACAUUUUGAUCGACUAUAUGGGCAGUGACUUGAGUGUUGCUGUUUAUUCCUGUGCCCAUCAGACUUCAUCCCACCUCUCAUAUUCAGUCG